CGGAUGCGCCCAACUACCACCGGCGGCGUUUCCACAGGUGGGACUGGGAGAGCCCCUCAGUGCACGCCUGGACCCACACAGGUGCGGGCACAGCCCUGCUGUGGCCUGCCCAGACACCACCUGUGCCCAACCGCCAUCACCUGUGCUCUGACACCAACGCAGCCCCUGCCUCUCCUUCUGCCAUCCACCACCUCACCGACUUCGUUUACCCCUAUCAGAGUACGCACGUAACGGGCAGCCCAUGGGCAGCACUGCACAUCAUGGUGCCUGCUCCUAGCCAGUGGAGCUGGCCGGGUGCUGAACCACACACAAGCUGCCCUGUGUGCCGCUGUGGCCAGAUAAAGCUGUCACCUCAGAGACACAGAAUACAGCGUUUCCAUACCCACUGCUAAUUGCCAAACUGCUGGAGAGGGCCAGAACGACCAGACGGCUACAAAAUCUACUGCUACAAACACACUCGUUCAAAAUAAAUACCUUGUUUUCAGCUGGCCAUCAAGCUGAAGCUAUCUUCAGCAAAACAACCAGGAAAACUGAGAUUUAUUACAGCCAGUGUGGAACCCACAGCUCCUUUAAGACGUUUGCAGGAGUGAUAUCACCAGCGUUAUUCUUAACAUCACCACACAAAGAAUCUCUUUCCGAGUUGGCUUAGAAAGCACGGUGGUACGUGGCAAUUCCCACAGAAGCUCUUAUCAAGCUUUGACUCGCCCUCACGCUUCUCAUCCCAGCACGAGAUCUGCCACCGGCACCACGCAAGUGGCUGCAGCCGCCACGUGGAAGCCAUGUUUUGCCAAAGAUCUGGUCAAGAUAUCAUUAAUGACUACACAGUACUUCCAGAGAAAACAAUACUGUUCCAGAUUUAUGUUUCAGCGAUGUUAUGCUGCGAGGAGAGCACAUAUUUUUAGAUGUAUUAUUCAUAAAGAAUUUAAUAAUAUUCAAAAAAGCUUGGACAAUUAGAAGUUCCAUGUGCUUGUUUGCAACUUCCAAGAGAAACAUAGACUACACAGACUGAAAUAGUAGAAUUCUGUGAAAUCGGGGAAAAUAAGCUUGAAGCCAACUCCUGAUGAUGGCAGUCUUGGCUGACAAUGGGGAAAAAUACUGAAAAAACGCACAACAGCACUAACACCACCUCUUGAAUCGAGGCUCUUCAGUUAGAUACGUAACAGAUUACAUGCCCUCUGACUUAGCACAAAGGAAAAACUGUAACACAAUCACCACCGUUGGCUUACUCUUUGCUAGACUUCAGGAGUUUGUGCUGAAAAUUGGAAGCUCUUGGCAGUUCACGCUCUGGACAGAUUCUCACAUCUGUGAGAGCUGACACACUGGACAAGGAGAGAGGUACAAGAUGAAAUCAUGAAGGAGCAGAGACGGUUAAUGAAGCAAGUCUCUACCAAGGCCACAGUAACACACACACUCUGUCUCUUCCAAGAGGUCCAGCUGUAACAGAUUGGGUAUUAGAACACAAAAAUACUAUUUUCUGAACUGCUUGAAUGGAAUACCUACAGAUAAGCACUUUCCGCCAUUACAAAGUCUACUGAGCAGGUUAAUUACUUCAGGCACGUAGCCUUACAGAUCUUGAAAGAAGAGGAAGGGGACUGUAUGCUUGAAGAGUUCCAUAGCUCUCCUGAAGUCAGAGUCCCUCAGAGGACACAGGACUGAAAGGUACAGCACAGCUGGCCUUGACAUACGUGAAGGAAUUCCUCUCUCUCUCAUAUUUCCACAAUUUUGAUCAGUGAAAACAACUGAGCUGGGGCCUUGCUGGUAUAAAAGAGAGAGGAACUGCUAACAGGAUGUUCUUGGUGGGAAUGCAAAGCUGUUGGAACUGAUUCUUCUUCCCUGAUCCAGAAGAGCUCAAAUUUUAUGGCCUUCAUAGCAUGCUGCAUAGUUCAUAUUAUUCCAGAAUACAUGAAAACAAGGAAGAAUUGCGAACGUGGUUAGUUUCUGGAGGAAUGUAUUAAGGAUUUUGCAGUGUCAGAUUUGCAUUGCACUGAAAAUGCAAGUGGAAAUUGCAA